rfam:Picea glauca, whole genome shotgun sequence.
AUGUAAUGCCUACAAUUUUAAUGCACUAGAUCCCAUUAGAACUCCAUAGUUAAGCAUGCUUAGGCUAGUGUAGUAAUGGGAUGGGUGACCUCUCGGGAAAUCCAAGUGUCUUACAUG